rnacentral:rRNA from 1 species
GACGAACGCUGGCGGCGUGCUUAACACAUGCAAGUCGAACGAAGUGGCGAAAGGGUGAGUAAUACGUGGGUAACCUGCCCUCCUUUUUCGGAUAAGCCUUGGAAACGGGGCCUAAUACCGAAUACAGGGGGAUGGGCUCGCGGCCUAUCAGCUGGUUGGUGGGGUGAUGGCCUACCAAGGCGGUGACGGGUAGCCAGCCGGAGAGGUUAACCGGCGACAUUGGGACGGCGAUACGGCCCAGACUCCUACGCGAGGCAGCAGUGGGGGCUAUUGCACAAUGGGCGAACGACUGAUCCAGCGACGCCGCGUGGGGGAUGAAGGCUUUCAGGUUGUAAACCUCUUUCGCUAUCGAAGGGGUAGGUGGAGAAUAAGCGCCGGCUAACUACGUGCCAGCAGCCGCGGUAAUAC